rnacentral:RNase_P_RNA from 1 species
AAAGCAGACCUAUCUUAUCGACUUAAGUAAAUUAAGUAGGAAAGUCCGGACACCAUAGAGCAAGCAUAGCGGAUAACAUCCGUCCAGCGUAAGCUGAGGACCAGUGCAACAGAAAGAAUGUACAGUUCGGCUGUAGUGAAACCAGGUAAACUCUAUGCGGUGCAAUGCCAUGUACAUUAGAGCUUGAGAGCUGCUCGCUCGAUUCUAAGGGGUAGGCAGAUGGAUUCUAAAAGUAAUUUUAGAGCUAGAUAAAUGAUAGGACCUCUGAAGUAAGUAGGAGGACAGGAUCCGGCUUAUUGGUCUGCUUUGUUA